GGAAACAGCGCUAAAAUUCAACAUUCCUUCCAAAUAUUUCAGGCAACCCAAUGCCUUGAGAUGCCUGCCAACCCCCUGAGAAGAUCAAUAGAACAACUACUGGGCAUAUAACACAGAGGCAUCCACUGGAAAGUCCAGGCGCUGCAGUCCACUCAGUGGGGAGGUGGGCACAUCCCUCCACCACUAACGUGAGGCAGAUCCCCAUGACAAAGAGACAUGGGAAAAGUAUUUCUCCAGGUGUGGUCCACGGAUUGGCCACCUCAGAAUCUACUUGAGAAACAUUAAGAUGCAAAUCCCUGUGUUCCACCCCCGGACUACUAGUUCCUGAUUGUGCGCUUUAAUGAACUUCCCAGAUGAGUCUAACAGGACUGAAGUGUGUAGAGCUCUACCAUUCUACGAGACAAAUGCAUUCGAUUAUGCUUGGGAAGUUAGAAGAAGUAAACAGUACCAUCUCAAACAGCAUGAGACAUGUUCCUAACAAGUGCCAAGUUUUCAGAAUUUUUUCUCAAUUCACACCAGGGAGUUAUUCAACACUGAACAUCAAACAGGCUCAAACCUGAUUUAACAAGCAAUUUUUAGGUAAAACUACAGCAAGCAACCACCGUUGUUCAGAAGACAAGAGUAGCGUUUAGCAUACUUGCCUAAGGAGAAUGAAACGAAACAUAUCUGCAGAUGUCUUCAGAGUAAAUAUUUGAUCUGAAUAAGACAGGUCUCUCUAUUUUGGUUCAUUAUGUUUCCAUUUUGUUUUAACUAAGACGCUGUUCCACCUACAUUUCAUUAAAUUUUAUUGGAUUAACC
rnacentral:lncRNA from 1 species